rnacentral:tRNA from 2 species
UUGGGACAUAGCGCAGUUGGUAGAGCACCUGUCUUAUACACAGCAAGUCCCCGGUUCGAUUCCGGGUGUCCCGAU